rnacentral:rRNA from 1 species
AGCCGAGCGGUAUUUAUUCUUCGGAAUAAGAGAGCGGCGUACGGGUGCGUAACACGUGUGCAACCUGCCUUUAUCUGGGAGAUAGCCCUCCGAAAGGGGGAUUAAUAUUCCAUAAUAUCUCGUUGGGCAUCCAACGAGAUUGAAAGCUCCGGCGGAUAGAGAUGGGCACGCGCAAGAUUAGAUAGUUGGUGAGGUAACGGCUCACCAAGUCUGCGAUCUUUAGGGGGCCUGAGAGGGUGAUCCCCCACACUGGUACUGAGACACGGACCAGACUCCUACGGGAGGCAGCAGUGAGGAAUAUUGGACAAUGGGUGCAAGCCUGAUCCAGCCAUCCCGCGUGAAGGAUUAAGGUCCUAUGGAUUGUAAACUUCUUUUAUACAGGGAUAAACCUCUCCUCGUGAGGAGAGCUGAAGGUACUGUAUGAAUAAGCACCGGCUAACUCCGUGCCAGCAGC